rnacentral:rRNA from 1 species
GACGAAGGGGGCUAGCGUUGUUCGGAAUUACUGGGCGUAAAGCGCGUGUAGGCGGUUAUCCAAGUCGGGUGUGAAAUCCCUCAGCUCAACUGAGGAACUGCAGCCGAUACUGCCGAUCUCGAGGACGAAAGGGGAGAGUGGAACUUCUGGUGGAGCGGUGAAAUGCGUAGAUAUCAGAAGGAACGCCGGUGGCGAAAGCGACUCUCUGGUUCGUAUCUGACGCUGAAGCGCGAAAGCUUGGGUAGCAAACGGG